UACAGAGGUCCCAAGCGUUGUUCGGAUUCAUUGGGCGUAAAGGGUGCGUAGGCGGCGCGGUAAGUCGGGUGUGAAAUCUCGGGGCUUAACUCCGAAACUGCAUUCGAUACUGCCGUGCUUGAGGACUGGAGAGGAGACUGGAAUUUACGGUGUAGCGGUGAAAUGCGUAGAUAUCGUAAGGAAGACCAGUGGCGAAGGCGGGUCUCUGGACAGUUACUGACGCUGAGGCACGAAGGCUAGGGGAGCAAACGGG
rnacentral:rRNA from 1 species